CCUACGGGAGGCAGCAGUGAGGAAUAUUGGUCAAUGGACGCGAGCCUGAACCAGCCAAGUCGCGUGAAGGAUGACGGCCCUAUGGGUUGUAAACUUCUUUUAUAUGGGGAUAAAGUGAGGCACGUGUUGCUUUUUGUAUGUACCAUAUGAAUAAGCAUCGGCUAACUCCGUGCCAGCAGCCGCGGUAAUACGGAGGGUGCGAGCGUUAUCCGGAUUUAUUGGGUUUAAAGGGUGCGUAGGUGGUUCAUUAAGUCAGCUGUGAAAUGUUGUGGCUCAACCGUAAAAUUGCAGUUGAAACUGGGUGGCUUGAGUACAUCUGAGGUAGGCGGAAUUCGUGGUGUAGCGGUGAAAUGCAUAGAUAUCACGAAGAACUCCGAUUGCGAAGGCAGCUUACUAAACCAUAACUGACACUGAGGCACGAAAGUGUGGGUAUCAAACAGGAUGAGAUACCCGUGUAGUC
rnacentral:rRNA from 1 species